rnacentral:rRNA from 1 species
GACGGACGCUGGCGGCGUGCCUAAUACAUGCAAGUAGAACGCACAGUUUAUACCGUAGCUUGCUACACCAUAAACUGUGAGUUGCGAACGGGUGAGUAACGCGUAGGUAACCUGCCUGGUAGCGGGGGAUAACUAUUGGAAACGAUAGCUAAUACCGCAUAAUAUUAAUUAUUGCAUGAUAAUUGAUUGAAAGAUGCAAUUGCAUCACUACCAGAUGGACCUGCGUUGUAUUAGCUAGUAGGUGAGGUAACGGCUCACCUAGGCGACGAUACAUAGCCGACCUGAGAGGGUGAUCGGCCACACUGGGACUGAGACACGGCCCAGACUCCUACGGGAGGCAGCAGUAGGGAAUCUUCGGCAAUGGACGAAAGUCUGACCGAGCAACGCCGCGUGAGUGAAGAAGGUUUUCGGAUCGUAAAGCUCUGUUGUAAGAGAAGAACGGGUGUGAGAGUGGAAAGUUCACACUGUGACGGUAUCUUACCAGAAAGGGACGGCUAACUACGUG